GAUGAAGAACGUAGCGAAAUGCGAUAACUAAUGUGAAUUGCAGAAUUCAGUGAAUCAUCGAAUCUUUGAACGCACAUUGCGCCCGCUGGUAUUCCGGCGGGCAUGCCUGUUCGAGCGUCAUUUCAACCCUCAAGCCCCCGGGUUUGGUGUUGGGGAUCGGCUCUGCCCUCUGGGCGGUGCCGCCCCCGAAAUACAUUGGCGGUCUCGCUGCAGCCUCCAUUGCGUAGUAGCUAACACCUCGCAACUGGAACGCGGCGCGGCCAUGCCGUAAAACCCCAACUUCUGAAUGUUGACCUCGGAUCAGGUAGGAAUACCCGCUGAACUUAAGCAUAUCAAUAAGCGGAGGA
rnacentral:misc_RNA from 1 species